rnacentral:rRNA from 1 species
GACGAACGCUGGCGGCGUGCUUAACACAUGCAAGUCGAACGGAAAGGCCCUGCUUUUGUGGGGUGCUCGAGUGGCGAACGGGUGAGUAACCCGUGAGUAACCUGCCCUUGACUUUGGGAUAACUUCAGGAAACUGGGGCUAAUACCGGAUAGGAGCUCCUGCUGCAUGGUGGGGGUUGGAAAGUUUCGGCGGUUGGGGAUGGACUCGCGGCUUAUCAGCUUGUUGGUGGGGUAGUGGCUUACCAAGGCUUUGACGGGUAGCCGGCCCGAGAGGGUGAACGGCGACAUGGGGCCUGAGAGACGGCCCAGACUCCAACGGGAGGCAGCAGUGGGGAAUAUUGCACAGUGGGCGGAAGCCUGAUGAAGAAACGCCGCGAGCGGGAUGAAGGCCAUCGGGGUGUAAACCGCUUUAGCCUGUGACGAAGCGUGAGUGACGGUAAUGGGUAAAGAAGCACCGGCUAACUACGUG